AAGACUAUAGACCUGCGGAGUACCUGCGGAAGGAUCAUUAACGAAUAUCUAUGGCGUCGGUUGUAGCUGGCUCUUAGGAGCAUUUUGUGCACGCCCGUCAUUCAUAUCAUCUUUCCACCUGUGAACUAUGUGUAGGCCUGGAUACCCCUCGCUUUGGCAACAAGGCGGAUACAAGGAUUGCUGCGUCGCAAGGCCGGCUCUCUUUGAAUUUCCAGGUUCUAUGUCUUUUACACACCCCAU
rnacentral:misc_RNA from 1 species